GAUGAACGCUGGCGGCGUGCUUAACACAUGCAAGUUGAACGAAGUGGCGGAUGGGCGAGUAACACGUGAGGAACCUGCCUUUCACACGGGAAUAACACUGGGAAACCAGUUCUAAUACCGCAUAGUGAAAGAUGGCCUCGCGCCUGAUUAGCUAGUAGGUGAGGUAACGGCUCACCUAGGUGAUGAUCAGUAGCCGGACUGAAGGAUGAUCAGCCACACUGGGACUGAGACACGGCCCAGACGCCUACGGGAGGCAGCAGUGGGGAAUAUUGCACAAUGGCGCAAGCCUGAUGAGGCCAUGCGGAGUGUAUGAAGAAGGCCUUAGGGUUGUAAACCUAUUUCGCGAUCGGGUAGGUGGAGAAGAAGCGCCGGCUAACUACGUGCCAGCAGCCGCGGUAAUAC
rnacentral:rRNA from 1 species